ACAACAAGUUAACUGCUGUUCCCAGUUAUAUCUGGUCUUUCCCACCCCCAAACAUACACAAAAGAUUUUUGUCAUUCUUGGCACUGGACAACAGAAGUGAUAAGACAUGCCAGCAGAACUCUAAAGGCAGAAUGUCCUUCCACCUGUUUUAUGCUGUAAGACAAACUUCCAAGUGCGAGGCAGUGUGGAGGGCUGUUUCCUUGAAUGGCAGCUGAAUGCACCAGCGGGAUCCUUGGCAGCAAUGCCCAGGCACUGAAGCUGGGCAUUCAGGAGAGCUAAAUGGAGAAAAGAAACUUGAGCAAACUGCUUCCUGGAACACUGAGAACCUGAAUGGGAAAUUAAGAAGAACCAGAUUAUUUCUAUUCUUCCACCAGCCAAGGUGAUGAGCACAAAAGGAUCCAUCUUAUACAGUGCUUGCCAGCUUCCAUAAUACUACUCACCACGAUGUUGAAAUCACCUGUUCCAGAACCAAUCCUGUCCUUUGACAAGAAGGAUUUAAUUAUCAGUAGUGGUGGGGACUGGCUGGAGAGAGGAAAAACACUUCAAGGACUCUGCCACCAUUCCUAGAUGGAGAGUGAAAAGUUUUUACCAUGGAACUCUCUAACAGUUACUCUAUGGCAGUGCCUAUUUCAAACCUCCCUUAACUUCUGAUUGUAUAGAUGUUUGUUUCAUUUGUUCAUCUGUUUGUUCACUUAGAGAUGUUUUAAGCCUUAAGAGAGAUAGUGGACAAGACAAUGCCUUGGAAAAGUACAAAGCUCAAUCCAAGUAAACUGUUUUUAAACUAGGAACUUAUGAAGCCUAAAAUAUAAAAUGUAUGUACAUGGAUAUGCUCUGAA
rnacentral:lncRNA from 1 species